ACGGGGCCCGCACAAGCAGCGGAGCAUGUGUUUAAUUCGACGCAACGCGAAGAACCUUACCAGGGCUUGACAUCCCCUGACCGCGUAUGAAAGUACGUUUUCACCCUCGGGUGACAGGGAGACAGGUGGUGCAUGGUUGUCGUCAGCUCGUGUCGUGAGAUGUUGGGUUAAGUCCCGCAACGAGCGCAACCCCUACGUUUAGUUGCUAACGCGUGAAGGCGAGCACUCUAGACGAACUGCCGUUGACAAAACGGAGGAAGGUGGGAUGACGUCAAAUCAUCAUGCCCCUUAUGUUCUGGGCUACACACGUGCUACAAUGGCCGGUACAGACGGACGCAAAGCCGCGAGGUGGAGCAAAUCCUAAAAAGCCGGUCUCAGUUCGGAUUGCAGGCUGCAAUUCGCCUGCAUGAAGUCGGAAUCGCUAGUAAUCGCAGGUCAGCAUACUGCGGUGAAUACGUUCCCGGGCCUU
rnacentral:rRNA from 1 species